GACACUGUGAUGCCAUGGACAGACAGAGGGAACACAGAGAAGUGGGAGCAGGCAGGCACAGAACAGAAAUCUAACAAAUGGCAAACCUUAACAAAAGACAUAACCAGAAUAAACAAGAACAUAUAAUGAUAUAAGGAAACACAAAACACUGACUCGUCAGACUCAGGACCAUGACACAUGUUAAUCGAGAUAAUGCAACACAUAGACUUCGUCAAACAAAGAGAACCAGGAAUGAGGAAGACUGCAGUCCCAACAGUAAUGCAGCCUCACCUAAAAAAGUUAGAUGCCUUGUUGAUAGCUACGCUUGUAUAAAUUGGCAACCAGUUGAACUUCCUGAGGGGGAAACGCCAGCUUCUUUAGAGGAAAAGAAACACAUCCUGUUAACAAUUUUUAAUUCAGAAGGACCUGGAGCUGUGGAGAGAUCUGAUGUGGAUGACUUCAUGUGCCUCACAUAUAUUUCUCAGCGGCAGCUUAUCAACAGUUGUCCCUCACUUUCAGUAGCUGAAAUUCAGGAGCAGUGGCCAUUCUUGUUUACUCGGAAAGGUCUUUCGAACUUUUACAAACUCAGAGGCAUUGAUAUCAGUGAUUGCUUAAGUCAGGCCCUCAUAACCAAAGGCAGAAGGAUUAUUAACUAUUUCUCCAGCUAGAAGCUCAAAUGUAACCUUGGUAUAAGGACACUCAUCCAGCAGAUAGAAAGUGAGGGAGUUUUGACCAAAAACAAGGUUGGCACAGCAGCCAUACUUCUCAUGAUGAAGUAUUACAAGGAAGAUGAAGACUCCCUCUUUGUCUUAGCAGAUGAAACAUCUACCAGGAUGUCCCUUGAAGCAGAGAGCAACCUGCCAAUCACCCCAAGGCUGAUUAUACUUGGACAAAGUUCAAUGACCGCCACCUGCUGGAUGGUGAGUGCAGAGGGGCGUGUAAUUGUUGAGCUGGACAAAGAGAACACCUUUGCUGAUGCGAUGUCUUCUUUGGUUCAUUCUAUGUAUUGAACCUGGAAUACCAGGAGUCAGCGUGUGCAACAUUGGAACUGAUUCAGAGGUUUUUUGUAAGGAUAAAUCCUGAAGAGGGAACAAAAUGUACCUCCAAGGUCGGCACAAGCAGAAAGACUGGGACCACUGUGAAGAAAAAGGUUGUUCACAUUAACCCUCAUGUCACAACUUUCCUCCAGCGGCUUAUUGAAUUUGAGUGGAAAACUUCAAAUUAGAUGAUCCAUGGCCCAUGCUUUCUGGACAUUUACACAAGACGAACAACAAUGAAGACAAGCUCUCUCACCAUCUUACAAGAAGCUGUCUCUGUCCAAUAGGUUUUUUGAGUGCAACAGUUUUGAUUUUUUUUCUUUCUCUUACCCGAAAUUAUUUCAGCUACUUACUCUUUAAUUGUCACAUGUAUUGGCUCACUCUACACACACCACACACGCUCAUCCAUGUCCUUGUGGACCCUGCUUUGUGCAUUGAUUUGGUGGUGUGAGCCAGUAUUUUGGACAAAGUGUAUGAGGGGGUAGGGACUAAUAAGUGUAUACUUCUGCCUACUCCUUUUCAAACAAAAGAAUGGAAUUAUAUUUUGUAAUGAUUGUGAAUGCACAUGUUUGAAAUAAAAAUGAACUGAACUGAACUGAACUGUAUAAAGGCAGAAGUGUGGGGCUUGAUAUUGUAUUCAUUACAAUUCAGUUUAUUUGUAUGGUGCCAACAAAAUGAAUGCCAAGGUACUUCACAGUGUAGGUUUAAGAUCCUACAAAAUUUAACUAAGAAAACCCAACACUUGAGCAUAUGUUGUCUGUCAUGAUAUGGAUAUAUGACAUAAUAUCAUUAUUGUUUGUACAACCAUCUAAGAAAAUACAUGAGUUAAAUGGUUUAGUAAAAACAAAUGCUUCCUCAAUGAAAAUAUGUUUUCAGUUCUUUUCAGUUUUUGAUUUUGGAAAUGUGUAUUUCUACAGA